CGUGAAACGAACAAAUCAAAACAGAAAAAAAAAACAAUAUUUUUGUUGUAAUGCAUGUUUAAAAAGGCUGGUAGGUAAUUGAAAGUGAAGCAGAAGAUUGGGUUGGCCUUUGGGUAUCCUUUUACUGAGAACCAAAGCCAUAGGAGAGUGAUAAAGGAAGAAACUUUUCGAGAGAGAAACAAUGGGAGGAGGAGGGGGAGGAGAAGACGAAGCAUCGUUGGAGUACACUCCAACAUGGGUUAUAGCAGUAGUUUGUUUUGUGAUUAUUGCAAUUUCUUUUGCUAUGGAACGUUUGCUUCAUCAUUUAGGGGAUGUUUUGAAGGAGAAACAACAGAAACCACUCUACGAGGCUCUUUUGAAAGUCUAGGAAGAGUUGAUGCUCUUGGGGUUUAUAUCACUGUUGUUGACAGCAUUUCAGAGUGCAAUUUC